AGAUACUUUUUUCACAGUGGAGGAGGAAGUGCAUCUCUUUCUGACCCAGUUGGUGGUCACUGAGCCUGUAUUUAGUCAGGAUCCGUCUCUUCUUCAUACCU